AGCAGCCGCGGUAAUUCCAGCUCCAAUAGCGUAUAUUAAAGUUGUUGCAGUUAAAAAGCUCGUAGUUGAAUUUCGGGAUCAAUAUGUCGGUCGUGCCUCCGGUACGUACUGGCAUGAUUGAUUUCUCCCUUCUGAUGAACCAUGAUGCCAUUAAUUUGGUGUCUUGGGGAAUCAGGACUGUUACUUUGAAAAAAUUAGAGUGUUUAAAGCAGGCUCACGCUUGAAUACAUUAGCAUGGAAUAAUGAAAUAGGACGUUUGAUUCUAUUUUGUUGGUUUCUAGGAUCGACGUAAUGAUUAAUAGGGAUAGUUGGGGGCAUUAGUAUUCAAUUGUCAGAGGUGAAAUUCUUGGAUUUAUUGAAGACUAACUACUGCGAAAGCAUUUGCCAAGGAUGUUUUCAUUAAUCAAGAACGAAAGUUAGGGGAUCGAAGACGAUCAGAUACCGUCGUAG
rnacentral:rRNA from 1 species